GGAACAGUGACCACAGCAUCCUUAAUAGUCUUCCCAAGGAAUGCUUCGGCUGUCUCUUUCAUCUUUGUCAAAAUCAUGGCGCUGAUUUCCUCAGGACUAAAUACCUUAACUUCUCCAUCCUUGAUUUUGACUUGUAUGUAGGGCUUUCCAUCCUUGCUGACAAUCUUGUAUGGUACCAGCUUCAUAUCCCUCUGUACUUCCUUAUCUUCAAAUUUUCUUCCAAUCAGCCUCUUAACAUCAAAGAUUGUUCUUUCUGGGUUGACCGCAGCCAGGUUCUUGGCAGCCUCACCAAUCAAUCUCUCGUUAUCAGUGAAUGCAACCCAUGA
rnacentral:misc_RNA from 1 species